rnacentral:rRNA from 1 species
AUUCCAGCUCCAAUAGCGUAUAUUAAAGUUGUUGCGGUUAAAAAGCUCGUAGUUGGAUUUCUGCUGAGGACGACUGGUCCGCCCCCUGGGUGAGCAUCUGGUUCGGCCUGGGCAUCUUCUUGGGGAACGUAUCUGCACUUGAUUGUGUGGUGCGGUAUCCAGGACUUUUACUUUGAGGAAAUUAGAGUGUUUCAAGCAGGCCCGCGCCUUGAAUACAUUAGCAUGGAAUAAUAAGAUAGGACUUUGGUGGUUCUUUUUGAUAUUUUGUUGGUUUGCACGCCAAAGUAAUGAUUAAUAGGGGCAGUUGGGGGUAUUCGUAUUCAAUUGUCAGAGGUGAAAUUCUUGGAUUUAUAGAAGACGAACUACUGCGAAAGCAUUUACCAAGGAUGUUUUCAUUG